UACGAAGGGGGGCUAGCGUUGCUCGGAAUCACUGGGCGUAAAGGGUGCGUAGGCGGGUCUUUUAAGUCAGGGGUGAAAUCCUGGAGCUCAACUCCAGAACUGCCUUUGAUACUGAGGAUCUUGAGUUCGGGAGAGGUGAGUGGAACUGCGAGUGUAGAGGUGAAAUUCGUAGAUAUUCGCAAGAACACCAGUGGCGAAGGCGGCUCACUGGCCCG
rnacentral:rRNA from 1 species